rnacentral:lncRNA from 1 species
CAAGAGCUAGGACAGGAGGAGCCGCAGAGCUCGUAAUUGCUGCGGGGAGGACAGGCCAGCUCUGGAAGAAAACAGACAGGGUCUUGCUCUGUUGCCCAGGCCAAGUGCAAUGGCAUGAUCUCAGCUCACUGCAGCCUCCCGAUUGUUCCGAUGAAACUUUUAACCACGUGGUUUGUUAUGCAUGUCACACCCACAGGCCACUUCAAACUUGCAGCACACAGUGAGCAACUCGGACAAUAUAGGGUCCAGUGCUGGGAGGUGAGAGGGUCUCGCUCUGUCACCCAGGAUGCAGUGCAGUGGUGCCAGCAUGGCUCAUGGCAACCUCGAACUCCUGGACUCAAGAGAUUCUCCUGCCGCAGCCUCCAAGUAGCUGAGAAUACAGGUGUGCACCACCACCAGGCCUGGCUAAUUUUUUUUUUUUUUUUUUUAAUAAAGACGAGAUCUUGCUAUGUUGCCCAGACUGGUCUCAAACUCCUUAGCUCAAGUGAUCCUCCUGCCUUGGCCUCCCAAAAUGCUGGGAUGACAGACAAGAACCACCAUGCCCGGCCCGUUCCAUCAUUUCUUAUUGUGG